GUGCCAGCAGCCGCGGUAAUACGUAGGUGGCAAGCGUUAUCCGGAAUUAUUGGGGCGUAAGCGCGCGCAGGCGGUUCCUUAAGUCUGAUGUGAAAGCCCACGGCUCAACCGUGGAGGGUCAUUGGAAACUGGGGAACUUGAGUGCAGAAGAGAAGAGCGGAAUUCCACGUGUAGCGGUGAAAUGCGUAGAGAUGUGGAGGAACACCAGUGGCGAAGGCGGCUCUUUGGUCUGUAACUGACGCUGAGGCGCGAAAGCGUGGGGAGCAAACAGGAUUAGAUACCCUGGUAGUCC
rnacentral:rRNA from 1 species